rnacentral:rRNA from 1 species
AGCGAACGCUGGCGGCGUGCUUAACACAUGCAAGUCGAGCGAAGGUGUUUCAAGGGUAACCUUGAGAUACACUUAGCGGCGGACGGGUGAGUAAUACGUGGAUAACUUACCUCUAGGCCUGGGAUAACCCCGGGAACGUAGGGGCGUAAUACCUGAUAAGACCACAUUGUCUACGGACGAAAGGGGUAAAAGGUAGGCUGUGCAAACAAGCUAUCGCCAAAAGAAUAGGUUCACGUCCCACUCAGGCGAGUGGGUUGGAGGUAAUGGCUCACCAAACCAAAGAACGGGUAGCCGGCCUUGGCGGGGUGGAACGGCCACACGGGGACGUGAGACACGGCCCCGGACCUCCUACGGG